rnacentral:rRNA from 1 species
CACGUAGGGCGCAAGCGUUGUCCGGAAUUAUUGGGCGUAAAGAGCUCGUAGGCGGUCUGUUGCGUCCGCUGUGAAAACUCGGGGCUUAACCCCGAGCCUGCAGUGGAUACGGGCAGACUAGAGGUAGGUAGGGGAGAAUGGAAUUCCCGGUGUAGCGGUGAAAUGCGCAGAUAUCAGGAGGAACACCAAUGGCGAAGGCAGCUCUCUGGUACAUGAUUGACGCUGAGACGCGAAAGCGUGGGGAGCGAACAGG